AAUCGUUAAAAAUUAAGAAGCUCAAUAAUAAAUUAUUACCGGGGAGGGUCAUUGGGUUGAUGAACCGUCAAUGGCGGUUCUCAAUGGCCACAUGCAGUUCUUCCAACUUUCUACCACUUAAACGGUGCAUGGGUAAAUCCACUCCCAUGUUCUAAUCAAAUGGUGGACAGUUAUUUAUGGUUUAUUUAGGUAAUUUAAAUUACUUAAAACACUAAAACCUAGAAUCAGACUUCAUUCUUCAAAAAAAAACGUUGCGUCCCAAAAUUUGUCUCUAAACCUCCAUGGAAGCUGAGGUCAAAUUGGUGCUAGAAUUGAAGAUUUCCAUUGCUUUCUUCUUCAACUUAGUGGACUUAUUAAUAAUCAGGCGUUGGCAAGUGAGGGGAUUUUUGAUGUUGAAGCUUGAGACUUAGAAGUUUUCUCUCAAGAUUUGGGUAUUUCCUCAUAUGUCGAAAAGAAGACUCUUUAUUUCUAGUUUUCCUUUAUCAAUUCAUUUGUAUAAUACUUUUAUCUUUCUUUCAAUGUAAGGGUUGUGUCCCUAUGAUAUUGUGAUGUGUCUAAGAUGGCUUGUGUCGAGACUUAAGUAUUCUUACCUUUUAUAAAA